GGAUGUGAGGGUGAUCUGGCUGUGAUACCUGUCACUCCAUUAAUCACCCAGGCUGAUCUGGCUGAUCUGGCCUCCCUCAUGGCUAGCAUCCUUCCUGAAGUUGUGUGUUGGGUGGAGGACUGGCUUCUGAUGAAGGAGGUCCUUUCCUCUGUAGUCAGGAUCUGUGUUCCUCCACUACACUGUCCCGAUAAGCUCCUUCGAGCUCAGCGGGGCCUCUGUGCUGUUUAUUCACUGGGAGAGGCACCAGUAGUGUUAGGAUACCACCAAAGAUCAGUGAGUUUAAAGAGCAAACUCAGGGUUUUCU
rnacentral:sRNA from 1 species